rnacentral:rRNA from 1 species
UACGAAGGGUGCAAACGUUGCUCGGAAUUAUUGGGCGUAAAGCGCACGUAGGCGGCUUUGCAAGUCGGGCGUGAAAUCCCACGGCUCAACCGUGGAAGUGCACCCGAAACUGCGUAGCUAGAGUCCUGGAGAGGAAGGUGGAAUGCUUGGUGUAGAGGUGAAAUUCGUAGAUAUCAAGCGGAACACCGGUGGCGAAGGCGGACUUCUGGACAGUGACUGACGCUGAGACGCGAAAGCGUGGGGAGCAAACAGG